UCUGAGUUCAGACCGGAGUAAUCCAGGUCGGUUUCUAUCUAUAAAAAGUCUUUCCUAGUACGAAAGGACCGAAAAGACAUGGCCAAUAUUUUAACAAGCCAUACUUUAUUACUAAUGAUAUCAACUUAAUUAGAAAAAAAUUUAUUAUAAUAAUUUAGAUAAAAUUGUUGACGUGGCAGAAUUCGGUUAUGCAAAAGACCUAAGCUCUUUAUACUAGAGGUUCAAAUCCUCUCGUCAACUNAA
rnacentral:rRNA from 1 species